UGGGGAAUAUUGCACAAUGGGGGAAACCCUGAUGCAGCAACGCCGCGUGAGCGAUGAAGGCCUUCGGGUUGUAAAGCUCUGUCUUCGCUGACGAUAAUGACGGUAAGCGAGGAGGAAGCCACGGCUAACUACGUGCCAGCAGCCGCGGUAAUACGUAGGUGGCAAGCGUUGUCCGGAAUUACUGGGCGUAAAGGGUGCGUAGGCGGUUCAUUAAGUGGGAUGUGAAAGACCCGGGCUUAACCUGGGAGGUGCAUUCCAAACUGGUGAGCUAGAGUGCAGGAGAGGAAAGUGGAAUUCCCAGUGUAGCGGUGAAAUGCGUAGAGAUUGGGAGGAACACCAGUGGCGAAGGCGACUUUCUGGACUGUAACUGACGCUGAGGCACGAAAGUGUGGGGAGCAAACAGGAUUAGAUACCCUGGUAGUCCACACUGUAAACUAUGGGUACUAGGUGUAGGGGGCGAAGCCCUCUGUGCCGCAGUUAACACAUUAAGUACCCCGCCUGGGGAGUACGAUCGCAAGAUUA
rnacentral:rRNA from 1 species